AACGCGAAAGCUCCCUUCGGGGAGCAAGUAGAGUGGCGCACGGGUGAGUAACACGUAGGUAAUCUACCUUCGGAUGGGGAAUAACAACCGGAAACGGUUGCUAAUACCGCAUAAUGCAGCGGCACCUAAUGGUGACAGUUGUUAAAGCGGGGGAUCGUAAGACCUCGCGUCUGAAGAGGAGCCUGCGGCAGAUUAGCUAGUUGGUAAGGUAACGGCUUACCAAGGCGAUGAUCUGUAGCCGGCCUGAGAGGGCGGUCGGCCACACUGACACUGACAUACGGGUCAGACUCCUACGGGAGGCAGCAGUCGGGAAUUUUGGGCAAUGGGCGAAAGCCUGACCCAGCAACGCCGCGUGAAGGAUGAAAUCCCUCGGGAUGUAAACUUCGCAAGAACGGGAAGAAUAAGUGAGAGUUAAUAUCUCUCGCGAUGACGGUACCGUUUGUAAGCUCCGGCUAACUCCGUGCCAGCAGCCGCGGUAAUACGGGGGGGAGCAAGCGUUGUUCGGAUUUACUGGGCGUAAAGGGCGCGUAGGCGGCCACCGCAAGUCGACUGUGAAAUCUCCGGGCUUAACCCGGAAAGGUCAGCCGAUACUGCGGGGCUAGAGUGAAAAAGGGGCAACUGGAAUUCUCGGUGUAGCGGUGAAAUGCGUAAAUUUCGAGAGGAACACCUGCGGCGAAGGCGGGUUGCUGGGCUGACACUGACGCUAAGGCGCGAAAGCUAGGGGAGCGAACGGAUUAAAU
rnacentral:rRNA from 1 species